rnacentral:rRNA from 1 species
UACGUAGGGUGCGAGCGUUAAUCGGAAUUACUGGGCGUAAAGCGUGCGCAGGCGGUUUUGUAAGCCAGAUGUGAAAUCCCCGGGCUUAACCUGGGAAUGGCAUUUGGGACUGCAAGGCUUGAGUGCGGCAGAGGAGACUGGAAUUCCUGGUGUAGCAGUGAAAUGCGUAGAUAUGCGGAGGAACACCGAUGGCGAAGGCAAUCCCCUGGGCCUGCACUGACGCUCAUGCACGAAAGCGUGGGGAGCAAGCAGG